rnacentral:tRNA from 1 species
CAGGAAGUAGUUUAUUGAAAAUAUUAAUUUUGGAGAUUAACGAUGAAGAAGAGAUCCUUUCUGA